AUGGGCGAAGAUGUAGAACUCCAGUAUGUUGGGAUGAGGUUGGAGAGAGAAAAUUGUUAGGGCCAGAGAUUGUUCAAAUUACUACCAAUAAAGUGCAUAUUAUUCGAGAAAGGUUGAAGGCGGCUCAAAGUAGACAAAAGAGCUAUGCAGAUAAUCGAAGGAGAGAUUUGGAAUUUCAAGUGGGAGAUCAUGUAUUUUUACGAAUCUCGCCAUGGAAGGGAGUGAUGCGAUUUGGUAAGAAAGGCAAACUAAGUCCAAGGUAUAUUGGGCCAUUUGAGAUAUUAGAGCGCAUUGGCAAGACUGCUUAUCGUUUGGCCUUACCACCUAGUCUAUCUCGCAUUCACAAUGUGUUUCAUGUAUCCACAUUGAAGAAGUACAUGCCUGACCCAUCACACGUGUUAGAUUUCCAACCAAUCCAACUCAAGGAUGAUUUGUCUUAUGAAGAGGAAGCCAUAGAGAUUGUGGACAUGAAGGAUCAAGUACUACGUUCCAAGACCAUACCACUAGUAAAGGUAUUGUGGAAAAAUCAUGCUUUGGAGGAAGCUACUUGGGAGCGGGAGGAUAAUAUGAAAAUUCGAUAUCCACAUCUUUUUCAAGGUAUGAACUAGACUAAACAAACGAAUAAAUUUCGUGGACGAAAUUUUCCUUUAGGGGGGUAGAAUUAUAAUAUUCCCAACUUUUCAUCUAGAGCCAAACACACUCCUAUGUUAAACUCCAUUUAGGAUAUCUAAACCCAACUCCAAACUUGAUGGUAGGUGUAACCAAACACCCCAUUUCAACACAAAAAAAAUUAGAAGUGCAGAUUUUUUUUCUUCAUUCUUCAUUCUCUAACUUCUCUCUACUUUCUCUCUCAUUUUCCUUUACUUUCUUGGAGGCCAAACACCACACCUUUGCUCCACCCUUACACCACCACCUUGACCCACCAUCUCCACCACCUCCGGCCACCUUAUCUCGCCGGAAAAUGGGUCCGGUCGGCACUCCUUGAAUCCAUCCGAAAAUAACACAAUAGAAGCACAAACUCUAGAUUUUUCUUAAUCUUUUGAAGAAUCAAAGCAUGGGAUUUAUUUUCUUGAUGGAUUAGAGGCUUGUACUUGGAUUGGAGGAAGGCAUCUCUCCACCUCUUGGAAAUUAAUUUGUAGAGUUUUAAAUCUAUACUUUUGCUAUUUUUGGAGAUUCAUAGACUUUUGUGUGGCUCGCCUCAACUUGGAAGACUAGAAUUUUUUUGAAGGAUCACAGGUGGGCAUCUUGUGGUUGAGGUUUUGCUUAGGGUCAUUCUAGGAUGUAAGCUUACCCUUUUUUUUUUAUGAAGGAGGUUGAUUGUAAAUAUUGCUUAUGAAGUUGGAUGUAUUGAUGGAUUCGUGAUUAGUAUGUAUUAUUUUUUUUUUUGGGAGGAAAUGCUUGGGAACUAUCUUUUAGCAUGAUAAUACUUUUUUUGCCUUUGAAUAGAUCAUCUCAUAUAUGUUAGGCAAUUGAAAGGUCUUAUACACUUUUGGUGAUGUGGUGAUGUGAUGUAAGAAUUAUACAGGAAUUGUGGUGUAAAGGUGCUAUAGCGUUUGAGGUGCACCCUCUUGGCAGGGUUUUGCCUUGCCAAGAUUGGGUCGUUACAUUUUUGGUAUCAGAGCACGAGUUAAUAUCUCACACACGAGUCCAUUGAGCGUUAGAAUUUCUAGAACAGAAUUAAGUUGCAUGCAUCUAAUAAGUAAGUGAUAAGUUGUGCACUUGGGAAUAUAUGUGUUUGUGUAAUAGAUUUAAGUAUUAAAACCAAGAAUUAAGAGUUGUAGGGUAUUUUGUUGCUUAUAAGAGGACCGAAAUGUGUUUGUUUAAUAAGUGUGGUAUUGAGGCUAAAAGCCAAGAACUAUUGAGGAACUUUUUCACAUUGUAAGUAAAUAUUAGUGAGUACAAGUAUAAUGAUCUGCGAGAAUGUAAUAUUAUAAGAACUAAAGGUUAUUUUGGAAUUUCGAUGAUUAAGAAGGACUGGGAUAUGUGUGUUCAACAAGUUUAGUGUUGAAGAUAAGAGUUAUUGUGAAAUUUUCUUUUUAUGCUAUAAGGGAAAUGUAAUUUUUGAUCAUAGCACAUUGGUGAGUACAUGCAUAUUGAUUCAUGUGAACACAGUAUUAAACAGAAUUAAAAGUUUUUGAUGGAAGUUGGGAAGGCUAUGCGGUUAAAUGUAAAAUUAGAGUUUGAGAACAUUUUAGGAAGUUAAAGUAUUUGAUGAUUAAUGAAGUGUGUCGAACUAUGGUGAUUGAGAGUUAGAAAACUAUUUGAUAUGAAGAUGAUAUGCUAUUUUGGUGAAGGACCUACUAUAUGAACCAUGGAAGUUCAUACAUAUGUUGAUGACCUUGAAAGUCCGAUUAGAAUCACGUUCGGUCAACAUAGUUUCGAAUCGGAAAUUCUUGAUCAACUUCAUGGGAAUGAAUAGGUUGCCCUACCAAUCUCUUUGCAAAAAAAAAAAGGAAUUGUUUAAUUAUGGUUGAAUUUGUGAUGUAUGAUUUAGGUUAUCCAAUAUUACCCCGACUGCUAUCUAUCUUGUCUUGUGACUCUAAGAAAAGAUAAUGAGAAGAAAGAACGAAAUGGAAGUUGAGUCUAUGUUGGAGCAAUUGGGCAAAAUAGAGGAAGUGUUAAGAAAUAUAAUGAAAGCUAGGCAAUAAUGCUAUGGGAAACUGCAAGAUUAUAAGAAAAGUAAAGUGUUAAGUCAAAGAAGGAAUUACAUAAUAUGUUUGAGAAGCAGAGUAUUAAGUGUUAAGCAAAGUUUGGAGUGGUUAGAAAUUUUAAGCAAGAUAUAAGUUCAUUCCCCAAAUGUUCGAUUUGUUGCAAAUAUUAUAACGGGGUAUAUCAUCGAACUUUAAGAGCAUACUACAAAUAUGGAGAGAUAGAACAACUAACGAAGGAUUAUUUAGGAGUAAUAAAAUUUUAAGGAGAUUUCAAGUCAGCCAGUCAGUUUAAAGAUUAGUUUCUAACCCAAUUGCUAAGUAAAGGAGUACUUUAAGCAUGUGUAUAGAAUUUUGAGUUGUUAUGUCAUAUAUGUUUUGGGAUAUGUGAAUCUUUCCUACCUAAUGUUUGGCAGACAUAAGAUACAUUUACUUGGAUUUUGGAACUCCAUCUGAAAAUGCUAAGAAUAUUAGAGUAUGACCAAGACUUAGAUUUAUUGUAAAGAAGCCUGUAUCUAGUACUACUACUUAGAAGAGUUAUUGCGAAAUGAAAAGCAAGAAAAUAUUUUUGCCGAAGUUAUAAAUGCAUAUUUCUUAAGAACCUCUUAGGACAAAGAAUUUGAAUUGACUAACUUGCAAAGGAUUGAGAAAGACAAAAUUUGGUUUCAAAAUACUUUGAUGAUAGCUUUGAUGCUACUGGAUGGUUGAAGUAAGUUAUAUAUGCAUACAAGAGAAUUGGACAAUUUAGAAUUUAUUUGCUUAGGCAUUUGGAGCCCAAUAUGAGAUUGUUAAGACAAUUAGAAUAAGAUUGUUAUUUCGGGUACCUCAACUAAUUGUGAGUAAAGUGUCCACACGUUAAUUGAUUCAAGACCCAUCCAUUCAUUUGAAGCUAAUUGUUAUAAGCUGAAUGUAUCAUUGGAAAUAUUAUUAUAUAAUAAUAAAUAACUAAAUAAAAAAUGUUUUUUUCGUUAGUUAGAGAAUUAUAUUACUUGGGAACUUGUACUAUGAUUAUGGUUCAAUAUGGACCCUAGAAUGUAACGUUUUGAGUGAAUGGAUUUUCUAUCUCUCAAGUGGAUGUGAUCAUACACCUAAGCGAGUCGUCUUUGACUUUUGAGAUUAAACAGUUAUUUUGUGGAACCAAUGGAGUAAAACCCCAGCCUAUUUGAUUUGUCAAUAAGGCCAUUGUGGUCCGAGUAUUUGUGGA